AUUUUGUUUACCUUUCUACUAUUUUUAUGCCUUAUGAUACUAACCAUUUCAUCUCACAUUUCAUUCAUCCCAUAGUUUUGGCAUCAUUUUUCUAUUCAUUUCUAUAUCAAUUGGGUUUGUAAUAAUUUUAGAUAGAUUAGUUCUUUUUUUAAAUUCCUUGCAAGACCAUAGCAUGUAUUUAGGACUCAAUGUAAAGGACUAUGGACACUAUAAG
rnacentral:lncRNA from 1 species